GCCUGUGGAAAACCUAGCUUUGACACUGACUUGUAAUCAGUAGGUCCCGGGUUCGACUCCUGUGCCGGCACCA
rnacentral:tRNA from 1 species